AUUCAACUGACGAGUCCCAAAUGGUACGAAACACGCGUCAAGCUGGAU
rnacentral:hammerhead_ribozyme from 1 species